AACGAACGCUGGCGGCAUGCCUAACACAUGCAAGUCGAACGAGACCUUCGGGUCUAGUGGCGCACGGGUGCGUAACGCGUGGGAACCUGCCCUUAGGUUCGGAAUAACUCCCCGAAAGGGGUGCUAAUACCGGAUAAUGUCUUCGGACCAAAGAUUUAUCGCCUUUGGAUGGGCCCGCGUUGGAUUAGCUAGUUGGUAGGGUAAAAGCCUACCAAGGCGACGAUCCAUAGCUGGUCUGAGAGGAUGAUCAGCCACACUGGGACUGAGACACGGCCCAGACUCCUACGGGAGGCAGCAGUGGGGAAUAUUGGACAAUGGACGAAAGCCUGAUCCAGCAAUGCCGCGUGAGUGAUGAAGGCCUUAGGGUUGUAAAGCUCUUUUACCCGGGAUGAUAAUGACAGUACCGUGAGAAUAAGCUCCGGCUAACUCCGUG
rnacentral:rRNA from 1 species